GAUGAACGCUCGCGAUAGGCUUAACACAUGCAAGUCGAGGGGCAGCACAAGGUAGCUUGCUAUCUGGGUGGCGACCGGCGCACGGGUGCGUAACGCGUAUGCAACUUGCCCUAUACAGGAGGAUAACCCGUCGAAAGACGGACUAAUACUGCGUAUGCUCACAACUUGGCAUCAAGUGGUGAGGAAAGAAAUUCGGUAUAGGAUAGGCAUGCGUCCCAUUAGCUUGUUGGUGAGGUAACGGCUCACCAAGGCAACGAUGGGUAGGGGAACUGAGAGGUUUAUCCCCCACACUGGUACUGAGACACGGACCAGACUCCUACGGGAGGCAGCAGUGAGGAAUAGUGGUCAAUGGGCGCGAGCCUGAACCAGCCAAGUCGCGUGAAGGAGGACUGUCUUAUGGAUUGUAAACUUCUUUUAUACGGGAAUAACAAGAGUCACGUGUGACUCCCUGCAUGUACCGUAUGAAUAAGCAUCGGCUAACUCCGUG
rnacentral:rRNA from 1 species